rnacentral:rRNA from 1 species
GAUGAACGCUGGCGGCGUGCCUAAUACAUGCAAGUCGAGCGAACAGACGAGGAGCUUGCUCCCCUGACGUUAGCGGCGGACGGGUGAGUAACACGUGGAUAACCUACCUAUAAGACUGGGAUAACUUCGGGAAACCGGAGCUAAUACCGGAUAAUAUAUUGAACCGCAUGGUUCAAUAGUGAAAGACGGUUUUGCUGUCACUUAUAGAUGGAUCCGCGCCGCAUUAGCUAGUUGGUAAGGUAACGGCUUACCAAGGCAACGAUGCGUAGCCGACCUGAGAGGGUGAUCGGCCACACUGGAACUGAGACACGGUCCAGACUCCUACGGGAGGCAGCAGUAGGGAAUCUUCCGCAAUGGGCGAAAGCUUGACGGAGCAACGCCGCGUGAGUGAUGAAGGUCUUCGGAUCGUAAAACUCUGUUAUUAGGGAAGAACAAAUGUGUAAGUAACUAUGCACGUCUUGACGGUACCUAAUCAGAAGGCCACGGCUAACUACGUG